rnacentral:rRNA from 1 species
UACGUAGGGUGCAGGCGUUAAUCGGAAUUACUGGGCGUAAAGCGUGCGCAGGCGGUUUGCUAAGACAGGUGUGAAAUCCCCCGGGCUUAACCUGGGAACUGCGCUUGUUACUGGCAGGCUUGGAGUGUGGCAGAGGGGGGGUGGAAUUCCGGCGGUGUAGCAGUGAAAUGCGUAGAUAUGCGGAGGAACACCGAUGGCGAAGGCAGAUCUCUGGGCCGUAACUGACGCUGAGGAGCGAAAGCAUGGGGAGCGAACAGG